GAGUAUCCUGGAAUGUUUUCUGUGAGAAAAACAUUUAAUCUCUGGAGACAAUCCUACAGAGGCUCUGUCUCGGAAAGGAACCAUUAAUAAAUUGCACGUGUGGGUUGGCCUGGACUUGCUGAAACGUGAUCAAAGGGAGAGUGAUUUACACCAGCUCUCCCUUCCUAUUUGCUUUCUGGCUGUCAUGAGAGUGAAGAACCCAAUUAGAGGAAAAAACCGAGAGAUGAAACUCUUAACGACGUGAAAUCUAAUGGGAAAAUGGAUGGAUUUUUUUUUCCCCUGAAGUGACUUAGCAGCAGCAGCAGCGAAUCUCAAAACAGUACCAUUUCCACCCUGCACCUUUAUUUUUCUUCCUUCCCCCCUUGUCUGUCCCAUUAGUGAGGCCUGCUGGCAGGCCCUGAAUAGGAUCUGUGAUGAUCCGCAGGCCUCCCCAGAACAGUGACAUACACAUGCCUUGAGCAGCUGUGCUCGAGGGGAAGGAGCCAUGCAGUAGUUUUUCUCCCUCAAUGGGGAGUAACAUGUGCUGCUGUCCCUGGGACCCCAAGAUGUGGCUAGAUGGAGGGGAAGGGGACUUCC
ensembl:lncRNA